UUUAACGAGAGUUUGAUCCUGGCUCAGGAUGAACGCUGGCGGCGUGCUUAACACAUGCAAGUCGAGCGAAGCACUUUUUUAGAACUCUUCGGAGGGAAGAGAGGGUGACUUAGCGGCGGACGGGUGAGUAACGCGUGGGCAACCUGCCUUACACAGGGGGAUAACAAUUAGAAAUGAUUGCUAAUACCGCAUAAGACCCCAGUACCGCAUGGUACAGAGGUAAAAACUGAGGUGGUGUAAGAUGGGCCCGCGUCUGAUUAGGUAGUUGGUGGGGUAGAAGCCUACCAAGCCGACGAUCAGUAGCCGACCUGAGAGGGCGACCGGCCACAUUGGGACUGAGACACGGCCCAAACUCCUACGGGAGGCAGCAGUGGGGAAUAUUGCACAAUGGGGGAAACCCUGAUGCAGCGACGCCGCGUGAGUGAGGAAGUAUUUCGGUAUGUAAAGCUCUAUCAGCAGGGAAGAAAAUGACGGUACCUGACUAAGAAGCCCCGGCUAACUACGUGCCAGCAGCCGCGGUAAUACGUAGG
rnacentral:ncRNA from 1 species